rnacentral:rRNA from 1 species
UUUUUAUAGUCUUGAUUAUAAAUAAAUUCUGCUCAAUGAAAAUUUAAUAGCCGCAGGAUACUUACUGUGCCAAGGUAGCAUAAUCAUUUGAUUCCUAAUUAGAAUCUAGAAUGAAAGAAUAAAUGACUUAAUUAUUUUCUUUAAAAUCAACCUUGAAUUUAAACUAAGAAUUAAAAUGUUCUUAUUCAUAAGGAAGACGACAAGACCCUUUUAAACUUUACUUAAGUUAAACUGGGGCAGUUAAUUAAAUAACACUUUAAUAUCAACCUAAUACAUACCCAAUAUAAUUGUAAAAGAAUCAAGUUACUAUAGGGAUAACAGCGUAAUAAAAUUUAAAAGUUCUUAUUUAAAAUUUUGAUUACGACCUCGAUGUUGAAUUACCUUAUCUCCCCAAUGAAGCUAAUGGAAUAGAAAGUCUGUUCGACAUUUAAAAAGGUACA